ensembl:lncRNA
GUUGUUAAGUGGUUGCUAUGGUGUUCUGCUGUGUUAGAGUUGUGCUAGGUUGUUAAGUGGUUGCUGUUGUGUUCUGCUGGGUUAGAGUUGUGCUAGGUGGUUAAGUGGUUGCUGUUGUGUGCUGCUGGGUUAGGGUUGUGCUAGGUUGUUAAGUGGUUGCUAUGGUGUUCUGCUGGGUUAGGGUUGUGCUAGGUUGUUAAGUGGUUGCUAUGGUGUUCUGCUGGGUUAGGGUUGUGCUUGGUGGUUAAGUGGUUGCUAUGGUGUUCUGCUGGGUUAGGGUUGUGCUAGGUGGUUAAGUGGUUGCUAUGGUGUUCCAGGCGGUUUGGCAUUUGAGGUGGUUUGCAUUGAAAUUUGGUUUUCACAAAAUACAUCGUAUCAAACAUGCAGUUGCAAUGUUUGAUGCAGUUGCAAUGAUUGAUACGGUGUAUUUUGUGUUUUGUGGUCAAUGCGGAAGUAGUGCGCGUAGUGGCAAAAAUGAUGGCGGGACUUGUGAUUUAUGGAGGUAUUUUCAGCACCAUGGAGAGACACACCAUCUAAAUGUUUGUCUCUGUCGCCCCCCAGCGG